GUGUCAGCCGCCGCGGUAAGACAGAGGGUGCAAACGUUGCUCGGAAUUACUGGGCGUAAAGCGCGUGUAGGCGGACCGAUAAGUGAGGCGUGAAAUCCCUGAGCUCAACUCAGGAACUGCACCUCAAACUGUCGGCCUUGAGUGGUGGAGAGGGAAGCGGAAUUCCUGGUGUAGAGGUGAAAUUCGUAGAUAUCAGGAGGAACACCGGUGGCGAAGGCGACUUCCUGGACACCAACUGACGCUGAGACGCGAAAGCGUGGGGAGCAAACAGGAUUAGAAACCCCUGUAGUCC
rnacentral:rRNA from 1 species